UGAGCAGGAAGCAGAGGACCGUUUUGAAUUCAGCAGAUUUUGAAUAAUGCCAGAUCAGGAGUGGAUCUCCUGGGAUAAGAUGCAAUGGUCCCACACACUUGUAUGUCACUAGAGUCUACUCUCUGGGAAACAGCAAUUUGACAGAACAUGUCAAGAGCUUGUGAAAACAAGUAAUUCACAUUCGACCUGAUACCCAGAAAGAAACUGGGGUUCAUUCACCUGGUGAAUCUCAAACGGCUCUCCACGAGAACGCAGGUUUGGAUCAGUAGGAGUUUUAUGACUUGUCACAGUGCUCGGAGGGACUAUCUGGAAUUUCCUUAUCUGACCUAGAAAGCGUCUUGCCGAAAGAAACACAUUUGCCUUCUAGCCCUCUGUUACCCCAUUAUCCACUGCAGAAAAGAAGCUGGAAGAAAAGAAGUCAGACGUCCAACCACACCUGGAUGGACUUUUCCACAAGAUAAGAUGCAGAAGACACGUUUGGAGCCAUCUGUGCCUCUGAAACAGACCCCCAUACAAAAGUGCUGUCUUGGCCCUACGAGACGGCUCAUGCGGGGCUGGGAGGCACCUGGGAAGUGAGGCCCACAAACAUGUCAGAGAUCUCGGCCUCAGGGGGAAGCUCUGGCUGUGCGUACUGACACAAGGCAAUGCACGGGAGAUCUGCAGCCCGGACAGGAGCCGGAGCACCUGGGAAGGACAUGAGGCAAAUGCUCAAGAACGUGAGAGCAGCACGCCCCAGCUGUGGGAGGGGCACCCUUUGAGCACUGAACACAGGAAGGCCAUGGUACAGUGCCAGGCUCAUGGCAAGUACUUUAUUCUCUUCCAAACUCCAACCAUGAAUCCACCCAGGUGUAAACCUUCCACAGUGAAUCAGUUGUGCCUACAGAAGCUCUGUAGACAAGUGCUGCUCAAAAUGUCACCUGCAGACCUGUGCUGCUCUGCAAACUCUUGGUUAGAUGUCCAUGAAGAGGAAUAAGAAGCUCGCACCGGGAUGUACAUUACUGUCACUCAGCAGGCUAUUUAGUCCUGCUGACUUUUUCCAUAGCAAGACUUUCUCAAUAAAGGAAGCAGGGCACUGAUUUACUCUCUGGGGCGAAAGCUGCUUAACUCCUGGUAAAAAAGUUUGUGGCCCAGCUACUUUCAGGCUGCUUCUGGGGACACUAACCUGAGGUGUCCAAGCAUCUCUGAGUGGUACCCAGGGAAAAUUAUGAAGGCAUUAGGCAAAAGCUAGUAGUUUAAAAAAUCAUAAUGCUAUAAUAACAAAAAAAUGAGAGGUUACCUCAAUACAAAAAGAGAAAAUUGGUUAAAUAAGUUAUAUACAUCCUCUUAAUGUAGUUGACAGCACUUAUAAGAGGUUGGGGACUUUAUAACGGGAUGAGAAAAGUCUUAGGAUAUGACAGGAAGUUACAACAGAAGCAUGAUAUAAAAUGGUGUCAGCAGCCCCCUGUGUAACAUGUAGAGAAGAUAUAUGUGCUCACAUUUACAUACUCGGAAGGAAAUGCAUGAAAAUACAAAUAGGGGAUUUGUUAGAGUGAUGU